GAUGAACGCUGGCGGCGUGCCUAAUACAUGCAAGUAGAACGCUGAAGGAGGAGCUUGCUCUUCUGGAUGAGUUGCGAACGGGUGAGUAACGCGUAGGUAACCUGCCUGGUAGCGGGGGAUAACUAUUGGAAACGAUAGCUAAUACCGCAUGACAACAGUUAUUGCAUGAUAACUGUUUAAAAGGGGCAACUGCUCCACUACCAGAUGGACCUGCGUUGUAUUAGCUAGUUGGUGAGGUAACGGCUCACCAAGGCGACGAUACAUAGCCGACCUGAGAGGGUGAUCGGCCAAAAUGGGAAGGGGAAACGGCCCAGACUCCUACGGGAGGGAGCAGUAGGGAAUCUUCGGCAAUGGACGGAAGUCUGACCGAGCAACGCCGCGUGAGUGAAGAAGGGUUUCGGAUCGUAAAGCUCUGUUGAAAGAGAAGAAAGAGUGUGAGAGUGGAAAGUUCACACUGUGACGGUAGCUUACCAGAAAGGGACGGCUAACUACGUG
rnacentral:rRNA from 1 species